UCAAAACCUGCAAACUACUG
rnacentral:siRNA from 1 species